rnacentral:sRNA from 1 species
CUUGUAAGAUUUCUUUGAAUAUUGUAAAGUGUCUGAACUGUUGUUGACAAUAGAUUGGAUUAGUCCAAGUUUUGCUGAUUUGUGAUAGUGUCUGAUAAUGCCUGCAGUGUAGCUGAAUAUUUUGUGAUGGCAGAGAAUUCAAUGCAAUUAUUUUAUGUGCUUACGUGUUUGACUAACUUGUGUCAUGGACCACCUGUUCUAUCAGACAUUUUUUGGUGAGAAGGAAAUGAAGCAAUCUAUUAACUCUACAUUGUACAUGUUUUAUGUUGUUUUACAUCCAAACCGUUCACAUCUUUGAAACAUUUUUCUUGUAGGAAGCAGUGUUGACUUAUUCCUGUGAAUAUCAAUGCAAUUUUUGUGUAUAUUAAUUAAGUGAACUCCGCAUCAAUUGUGUAACAGAUUUGUCUCUGUGUGGAGAGAGAGAGAGAGAGAGAUGAGACAUAUUACAUGUAAAUCAUAGUAUUGUAUUUCCUAGUCAAACAGCUAUAAUGGAAUAACAUGUACAUACAUAUAAAACACGUGACAGGCAAUGAUAGACAACCUCCUUCCCUGGUUCAUCUUUGUGUUCCUAUGCAGCUCUUAAUUUCUGAAACUAAUGUGACAAUCUUUUUUUAAAUCCUUGAUAAUGUCCAGAGAUUUUCAUAGAUAUUUGAUAAAAGGCUAUUAAUGCUUGUUAUUUUCACUCUGUAGAACAUUGCCAGUUGUAUAUGUUUCAUUUCAAUUGGCAUAUCAUUUCAUGAUAAAAUUUCACACAGUUCUCCUUUCUCUUGCUCAUAAAGGCCAAAUUAAAUUGUUUGCUAAUUUUUAAAAGCUUUUUUUUUAAGUGUUAUAUUUGUAAAUAAUGUCAAGGUAGAUCAUGCUUAUUCCCUCUGUACAGAGAUUUAAGACUCUGCUUUUGAUAAGUAUAAACCCAAUGCACUGAACAAAGCUUCAUUUGUGAAAUGUCACAAAGUUGUUUCUAUUAAAAUGUAAUGAAGAAU